CGUUCGUUUAGAUCUUAUCCAAGGGCUGACAAUAUUUGAAUAAAAAGAAAAAUCAUAUGCUUAUUGUUUUUGCCAUACACGCUUGCUCCCACACUUUCUCUCUCUAUCUGUGCGUUGCUUUUUUCUUCACUUUCUCUUAGUAUCUCCGUCUCGUUCGUCAUCGAUGUGUCUCUCUCUUGUGUUGUUUAUCUCCAAGCUCUAUAUCCGGUGCAAAAAAACAAAAUACGGAUUCUUCUUUCAAAGGAUCUCAUCAUCAAAUCAUGGAAGCAGAGAGAAUCAUAUCAUUCAAUGGCCGUGUGCUUGCUUUGAAAGAUGAAUCACACAUUCAACGAGUAUGGUUGCCUCAUGAAGACUCUUCAGUCGUGGACAUGUCUCGAGCUUUUGGGAACUUCGUCCUAAAAAAACAUGGUGUAGUUUUCAUUCCACAUAUCAUGUAUCAUCAUCUAACAUCUUCUGACCAAUUUGUGGUGCUUGCAACGGAUGGAGUAGGCCUAUAGUUCUCAAAUUAGUAAAAAAUUCUAUCUCAAAUUAUCAUAGAAAAAACCCUUCUACAAAAUUAACAAGUUAUAACCAUUUUAGGUUUGGGGUGUGCUAAGCAAUAAGAAGUGGUAUUGCUUAUAUGUUUAGCAAAGAGCGAAGAGACAACAACCAAGGCAGUGAUGAUAAACUCAAAUUAGAAUGAAAUGGAGCUGGUGAUGAUGAUCUAAAAGAGGGACUGGAUGUGGUUGUAUGGUUUUUGUUGAAAGUUAUAGAGGGUAAACCCAAGAACUAUAUGUUAGCGGUGAAGCUCUGAUGGAACAUGUUACAAAGAAGGCAACAAGAUUGCAGAUACUCUGCGGAGAAUGUAGUUUGUGUGAUGUACUUUCGGAUGUAAAAUCAUACUUUGAUUGUAUUAGCAUCUACAUAGAAGAGUAAGAUAAUAUCAUACUAAUUUAAGUUAUUAGUCUUUGUUUGA